rnacentral:rRNA from 1 species
UACGUAGGUGGCAAGCGUUGUCCGGAAUUAUUGGGCGUAAAGCGCGCGCAGGCGGUCCUUUAAGUCUGAUGUGAAAGCCCACGGCUCAACCGUGGAGGGUCAUUGGAAAACUGGGGGGACUUGAGUGCAGAAGAGGAAAGUGGAAUUCCACGUGUAGCGGUGAAAUGCGUAGAGAUGUGGAGGAACACCAGUGGCGAAGGCGGCUUCCUGGUCUGCGACUGACGCUGUGGCGCGAAAGCUAGGGGAGCAAACGGG